rnacentral:lncRNA from 1 species
UUUAUUUAGCCACAGAACUUCUAAUUUCAGAAACUGAGACAUGAAAUUUUACACUUGUAGUAGCUGCCUACAGAAUUCUGAUUUUGUUUGGGGCAACAAUGAACGCACAACCAAAGGGAUAAAUCAUAAUUGAUCUAUGCUAGUCAUGGAUUUCCUGCUCUCCUUGGUCAGGUAACUUCCUUGCCAAGCUUCUCUGUAACUAGAGCUAAAGCUAUAUACAUGACCCACCCACG